GGCAACAUGAGAGCCCAACUGUCUCUUAUAACAAAUCAAUUAAACUGAUCUCCUAGUACAAAAGCUAGGAUUCCCCCAUAAGACCAGAAGACCCUGUGAAGCUUUAACUAACCUAUUAAACCCCAUAAUAGCUAGUUUCGGUUGGGGCGACCUUGGAACAAAAAAAAACUUCCAAACUUGCACCUCACCUGCACUAAAGGCCAACAAGCCACAAUUAGACCCAGUUUACACCUGACAAAUGAACCAAGUUACUCCAGGGAUAACAGCGCUAUCUUCUUCAAGAGCCCAUAUCAAAAAGAAGGUUUACGACCUCGAUGUUGGAUCAGGACAUCCUAGCAAUGCAACCGUUACUAAGGGUUCGUUUGUUCAACGAUUAAUAGUCCU
rnacentral:rRNA from 1 species